UUUUAAAAAACAAUACCCAGUUAUCACAUUUUCUUCUUUGUCCAUCAUUUUUCUUAACAGAACAAGUUAUAAAAAACUUGGGUGGAUAUAUCAUCUUUGCAGACCGACACAUUCGCAGAGGACUCGUGAAUAAUGAUGAUUCAAAAGCUCCUAGUUUUACUCCUGAAUCAGGCAAAGAGCAAAGGACACUAUAAGAACAAAUUUUGUUUAUAGCAAGAUCAUGAUACAACAUUGAGUUACUACAGCGCAGUGCUUAUAAUUCAGUUCACAAUGGAAUAUUCUCAGCCCGACAGCAGACACACUGAGAUCGCCGACCGCUCACGCCGCAGGCAUCGGCGCAGGCAGCCGUCGGGACAGUGAAACCCAAAUCGCUAAGGCUUCUCUGGCAGUGAGUCUCUGAGCCCAGGGCUCCCGAGCGUCGAGCUCAGGGCGACCCGCGCCGCCCUCACUUGGAGUCUUGGUCUUUCUUCUCAUCUAAAAGGGCGGAGCGGAUGCCCAGCUUUCUCAGUUCUUCCACCAGGUCCCCGUUCUGGUGCAUCUGCAGAAGGAUGUCACAGCCCCCCACGAACUCGCCGUUGAGGUACACCUGCGGGAUGGUGGGCCAGUUGGAAUAGUCUUUAAUGCCUGCGGGGAAAGAACACUCAAGCGUCACUUAAAUGGUCAAAGCCGAACUUUUCACAGCAAAAUACGUUUUCUACCCACUCCUGGCAGAACACCAGGCGUCCCUCCCUCGCUUCCGCCAUCCUUGGGGAACAACAUGUUUGCUACAAAGAGAACAAAUGGACGGCUGCUUAAACCCUAACUCUUCCAGCGACAAACUGCAAGACCCCAGACAAGUGACUCAACCUCUCACCCCGUUUCCACCCUCAUCUCACAAGGUUUUGAUGAGAAUCAGGGAUGUAAGGCUCGUGAAUCACCUGGCACGCACUCGACACUGGGUUAACGGCAGAGAACUUGACUGGUGGACGUAAGUCUCACAGGAUACACAAAGCCGUAUUCUCC
rnacentral:lncRNA from 1 species